GAUGAAGAACGUAGCGAAAUGCGAUAAGUAAUGUGAAUUGCAGAAUUCAGUGAAUCAUCGAAUCUUUGAACGCACAUUGCGCCCGCCAGUAUUCUGGCGGGCAUGCCUGUCCGAGCGUCAUUUCAACCCUCGAACCCCUCCGGGGGGUCGGCGUUGGGGAUCGGCCCUUUCACCGGGUGCCGGCCCCUAAAUACAGUGGCGGUCUCGCCGCAGCCUCUCAUGCGCAGUAGUUUGCACCCUCGCACCGGGAGCGCGGCGCGUCCUCGUCCGUAAAACACCCCAAACUUCUGAAAUGUUGACCUCGGAUCAGGUAGGAAUACCCGCUGAACUUAAGCAUAUCAAUAAGCGGAGGA
rnacentral:misc_RNA from 1 species